GGAAAAGGGUUCUGUUGAGGAAAGUCCCCACUCCAUCAGCAAGGUCGGGAUGCGCAAGCAUCCAUGUCGAGAGGCAUGGUCAAGGUGCAGAAAAGACACAGCCAGUUCAUCCCGAAAGGGAAUCCAUGAGCCCCUGCGGGCGAGAAAAAGAACUGGAUAUGGUGAAACUACCUCCCCGACUGGAGCAAGCCCAGAAGUGCGGGAUGAGCGCUGACGACCGCAAAAUAGGGCGCGUUAGUCGAAUGCCAUCAGAACAGAAUGGGGCUUACUACC
rnacentral:RNase_P_RNA from 1 species